GGGGAUUUAGCUCAGCGGUAGAGCGCUUGCCUAGCAAGCGCAAGGCCCUGGGUUCAGUCCCCAGCCCCG
rnacentral:tRNA from 1 species